AAACAUAUGCAGACCCUUUUAAUAGUCCAAUUUUCAGAUCAUGUUUUGGGCGUGCUGUUAGUGGUAGUAGUAGAAAAUUAGAAGCACAUUACUGUCAGGCAAGGAUGGCCCUUCAAAUGUGCAAAAGAAACAGCAGAAUGGCAAUCGUGUGAAUCAUUGGUUUAAAUGGGAACAGGAGCAUGAUGGUUAUAUUACUGAACAUGUAAUUCAGAAGGCUGAACAAAUCAUCUGGAAUAUGACUUCAGAUCUGACCACAGCAGUUACAAAAGUUAAGUAUGUUUAAUUAAAUCUGGGAUACAAUGUUAAUUUUAGCAAAAUUGACCAUGUAAUUAAUAGAUUUUUGUAAAAGUCUAUCUGGUUCAUACUAUUCCUUAGGGAAGAAAUGUGGCUGUUCUUAUCUGUUCUCUGCUACAUGUGACUCUCGGGCUACAACAUUGUGGUUGAUUCCCAAAUGUCCUCUGAAAUGGCCUAGUAAAUCAUCCAACUGUCAAGUAUGUCAGCACCUUCUCAAGGGCAAAUAGGAUGAGCAUUAAUUGCAGGCUUUGCCAGUAAUAUCCAUAUCCUCCAAAUGAAUAUAAAAGAGGAGUGCAAUAUUCUUGUAUUGGAAAAUCUGGCAACAAUAAGUGAAUAAAGAAUAGUUAAUGACUGUUCACGUUGUUAAUGGCAGCCACAUCCUUAAAUUAAUAAAAAAUAAUAUUCAGUAUCCAUACGUUGAGAGAUCUGACUGAAACUAAUAACAGCGUCAAGAGCUCUGUUAAUGGCUUUGGUCAGAUGCAUAAAAAGGCCACUCAUUAUCAAGAUGGAGAAAAAUACCUUGAUGCAGAGGGAUUUGGGUAUCCUCAUGCAUGAGUUGCUCAAAGUAUACAGAUACAGAAGGUAACAAGGAAGAACUGUUGGAAUAUCUACAUUCCGGCAAUGUUGUGAGGGCAAUCCUUCAAUACAGUGCAGCAUCUCCUAUAAUCCAUUACCCAAGCUCAUUGACCAAAAGUACUGACAACAGCCACCAAAAUGUUCUUCAGUAUUGAUCAAGAUCAAACUGAAAAUUACUGUCAUGGAAGUGUAUAUUGUUGUAAAUAAAUAAGACUGUCUCAACACCAUACAAUGUGUUCUGGACCCACCCUCUCAGUUUUUAAAAAAAAUUUAACCUAUUUUUCUAAUCAACCUGUUCAGAGAUGUUAGUACACACUUCUGGAGCAAUGGAACUUGAACCUGAGCAUUCUGAUCCAUGGUAGGGACUGGUAGGGACACCACCACUUGCCACAAGAUUUACUCGCCCACUCAGAUUAGUUUUUAAAGUCAG